GCUCCGGUGGUGUAGCCCGGCCUUGAUUUCGCUGAAAAGUCGGAAUCUAACGGAAAAGCAUAGUGGCCUCUCGAGUCACUGACCCGGGUUCAAAUCCCGGCCGGAGCA
rnacentral:tRNA from 1 species